UGUGAAACUGUCAAUGAAGUAUGGAUGGUUUGAUGAACAAGGACCUGUUCUACUCAAAGCCUGAAGAUGUGACAGAAAGCCUAGAGGCCUCAGAAGUGUAGAGGAGGCAUCAAACAGGAGAAAAUACCUGACAAAGGUGACUUAAUGAAAGGGUCCCGUUGGCUCCAACUGUGAGAGUGCAUUGGACGACAGGAGUGUGAAGCAGCUGGUUAUGGUGCAUUUACAGUGAGGAAGCCCAGAGCAAAGGAUGCUGGUGCUCAGCCCGCUUUUUCAUUUUUAUUUCACUACGACCCCAGCCCACUGGGGGCUGCCACCCAUGUUCAAGCCUGGACCUAUGGUUCCUCCUCCAGAAGAUUCUACUGGAAGGAAUCAAGUUUCCUGGUGCCUUAGGUGGAAUAUGGCAGCCAUCAGUACCUGCUUAAGGUGUCAAGAAGGGGUGAACAACAUAGAAGAGAAAGGACUACCAGACUGUGUUACCCUGGGCAGGACUGGUAAUAAGCAUGUGCUGAGGACAGGAGGCUACACUUGCUCGCCUUCCUAUGCACAGCAUGCUGAAGAUGCAGAAGAGGGACUCUAGUUGAUGCUGUUUCCCAUAGCUUAUCCUUUCUCCACAACACAGGCCAUCCUGGCAUCUGUAUUCCCAGCCUUGUCAUUCUGCAUUCCCCACCCCAUCAACCAGGAGAGACAUACAGACCUUGUACAGGCAUGGAAACUGUCCUUUCCAGAAGCCAGGCAACCUGAAUCCUGUUGAACUACAGAACUCUGUCCUUGCACACACCCAGCAUCCAUCAGCCUUGGGUUUCUUGUCUCUAUCCUCAAACAGCCAACAAAUUCUGUCUGCCUUAAAAAUAUCAAAUGAGAUACCAUGGAAGAAGUUUUAAAGGCAUAUGCAUGUCACUUUGUAUUGCAGGGAUUGGUUCCAGAACCCCCGCAGAUACCCAAAUCUGCAGGUGUUUGCAUUUUAGGUAAAGUGCAUUGUACCUGUGCCCAGCCUAAGUACACAGCUAGACUUUAGAUUGUCUCUAGAUUAACUUUAAUGCUUAAUGCAAUGUCAAUGUCACCUGCAUUGCCACUGUGCCACACUGUCGAGGGAAGAAUGACAAGGAAAGAGUCUGCACAUGUUCCUUGCAGAUGCAAGUUUUCCUUGAAUUCUUUCAGUGCAUGGUUGAUUGAAUCUGCAAAUAUAGAGCCUGUGAAUACUGAGGGCUGAUUGCAUUGAGCUACUCAAAGCUGGUGUAAAUGAUUAGACAUAAUAAACAUUAAUCUACUGUUGUUCCCAGCAAUGCCAGUGGGCUUUACACUAUCCACAGACUGUCCAGUUGCCUCCCCAAUAAGACAACAUAUAAGCUGGUAUGGAAGCAGGAGGAGCUGGUUCAGGCCUCCUCUGCUCCAGGAUGGCUAUAAAUGUGGCCCAACACAUUUGUAUGAUAGACAACAGUGUCAGUUUUUUUUUUUAAUCACUGUGAAAAUCUAUAACACAAAAAAGUCAUCCAAGGUAGAAAGUAAAGUAUAUGCAAAGGCCCUGUGGUAGGGAGGAGCUUUUGAACAUUCUAGAAAUUGGCAGAAGACCUUGGUAUCUAAAACAUAGCAGACAGGGUGCAAUUGGAGAGAUACAUGGUAUAUAGCAGAUGCCUGGUGGUAUUUGACUACUAGUAAAUUAAUUGGUGAGUGAACAGGGCUGCAGCUUGGGUCAAGGAAGCUUAUCUCUCUGUACCCUUCUGGUAAUGCACAUUUCUGCAGCAGCACUGAAUACAUCUGGCAACAUCCCUCUCCAGAUUCUGUGGAGAGAGACCCCUGUCCAGGCUUCACCAACUCACCUGGCGAUCCGAUGCCAGCUGGAGGCCCUGACCUUUCUACCUGACUGACUCUGUCCACUUUUCUCACUCAGAGAGCCCCCCUCCUUCCCUCCUCCUCUGGAUCCCUGUGGGGGCCACUGCCUAUGUUUAUGGAAACUGAACAUGUCAUUCAAACCAGCACCUCUGGCCUCCCAACACUGGAGAUCAGUGGCCACUGUUUUCCCUCUCUGUCACUGGACUUUGCAAGUGAAGGCUGGUCUCCCCGUGGCUGUUCCCAGAACCUCGCAGACGGUAAUGAG